rnacentral:rRNA from 1 species
UACGGAGGGAGCUAGCGUUGUUCGGAAUUACUGGGCGUAAAGCGCACGUAGGCGGCUUUUUAAGUCAGGGGUGAAAUCCUGGAGCUCAACUCCAGAACUGCCUUUGAUACUGAGGAUCUUGAGUUCGGGAGAGGUGAGUGGAACUGCGAGUGUAGAGGUGAAAUUCGUAGAUAUUCGCAAGAACACCAGUGGCGAAGGCGGCUCACUGGCCCGAUACUGACGCUGAGGCACGAAAGCGUGGGGAGCAAACAGG